rnacentral:lncRNA from 1 species
GGGUGAUGGACGAUGACGCAGAUGCAACAAUGGCAGUAGCAGUAUCUCGAUUCCCGGCGGCAGUGGACUGGGAAGCAGACAAAUCUCGCGAAUCCAUGACCAGAUCCAAGAAAUCAGAAGGCGAGAAUUUUGGAACACCACUAUCGAGCAUCCGAAAUGUAUCAAAAUUAAACUAACACAUCUGAAAUCACAAUUUCAAAAUAUACAUCCAAAUCUGCAGUGACUGAGGACGCGGCGAGGAGCAGCACCGGACGGCAAGACUGGAGCAGAGGAAGCGGCGGAGAAGAGCAAAGAAGUAAGCAGACCAGCGGACGCAGGAACCGGAUGCAGAACGACGUGACAGCGUGGAGCAGAGGAAUGAUCGGCGGGAGGCGCACGGCUGUACCAGACGAGUGACGGAGAGGCCGAAUGGGGGAGGGGAGGGCGGCAGUAGACUUGAGAGUGAUUGAAGGGUUCUUUUGAUAGCUUUCAAUUAAGAUUUUACUUUUAUAGUUUAUAUUAUUUAAAAUGUUUUAUACUAUAUUUAUUAAUUUUGUCUUUAAUGGUAUAAUUUUUGUAAAAAUAAAUAAUAUAAUUUUAUUGUAUUAAAAUAUUAUAUUAUAUUAAUUUAUAAUAAUAAUAUUUUAAAUUAUUUUUUAAAAUAAAUUGUCUUAAAAAUAAGAAUAUACAUAAAAUUAUAAAAAAAAUAUUUUAACAGUAUAUUUAAUCUUAAUUUAAAAUUUUAAAUAAAAUAAAAUUUAAUUAAAAAUUAAAUAAAAUUUUAAAAAUAAAAUGGUCGCUGAUUGGUCGCUGUUUAGUCGCUGUUUAGCGACUAAACUAAUUGGUCGCUAAAUAUGGUCGCAAAAUAUUCCCGCCCAACAAGUAGUCGCAAUUUUGUCGCAAAUAUGAUCGCAAAUAUUUCGCGCCACUUAUUUCCGCUAAAUUUAGCGACGGUUUGAAAUUUGGUCGCUAAAUAGCGACCAAAUAACGACCAAUUUUUGGUCGUUGAGCUUUUUGUUAAAUAAAAAUAUUAUUUCAUUCGUGUAGUAGCAGAAUGGUCGCUGAUUGGUUGCUAUAUAGCGACCAAAAAUUUUGGUCGCUAAUUUUGGUCGCAAUUUCACAGUUUUUUUGUAGUGAAUUUGUCCCUGAUGCCCAAACAACCAAACCUAGCUCAUCAGUUGGGGGUAAGGAAAAAAUGACAGACUAUCUAAAGUUGGAUGCCCCCAAGUUUGAAACAGGUGAUGACCCUUUUGAAUACCUCAGAUCGGUGAAGAUGAUAACUGAUGAGUUGGGAGCAAAUGACAGUAGAGCCAUUCAGAUGGCAGGGUUCACAUUGAAAUGCAAGAAGGCAAGGGAAUGGUUCAAAGACUAUGUGGACCUAAGGUUGGAAAGCUUAUCCUGGGAACAGUUUGCCAAUGAGUUUACAGGAUGGGCUUUUCCAGAUAGUUCCAGAGAACUAAAGAUGAUUGAGUUUGAGCAACUAAGACAGACGGAAGAGAUGAGUGUAGAUGAGUUUACAGACAGGUUCCUGGAGUCGCUGUCAUUUGCAGGACAAGGUCUUGACACAGACCUGAAGAAGUCUAGGAGAUAUGUUAUGAAGCUUCACUCCAGGUACUCCUCGUUGAUUCAAUCAGUACAAAGGGAGAGCUUCCAUGCUAUAGUAGAUAUGGCACGGAGAAUGGAGGCUAGUGCCAUUAUCCGAGGGACAGUUAAGCAGUCAGUGGCAUAGUCUUCGGGUCUCAAAAUCUCGGGGACAAGUGAUGCUAAUCUCCCCUCUCUGGGCGAGGAUGUCACGAAAGGUAAGAAGGGAGACAGAGGUCUUAGAAGAUCAAAGAAGAACAAGUUCUGGAAUUGGAUAAAGUCUGGUCUGGGAUUAGGAGGAGGCUCGAGCUCAGGCACAGAGGUUGCAGAGUGUGCAAGGUGCGGUAGGCCGCACAAGGGAGUCUGUCGGUUUGGGACUACAGCAUGUUACAGAUGCGGCCAGGAGGGACACAUAGCUCGGGAGUGUCCUAAGGCAGCUUUUAUGGCACCGUCCCAUCAGACAACUCUAGGUAGUAUGGCACAGCCAUCAGCUCCAGCCAUGUUUCAGGGUAGUGGUCGAGGCAGAGAAAGGGGGACGGCCCCUCCUUCAGCAGGUUCCCUAGGUGAAGGUCCAUCAGUUCCAGCUCGGAUCUUCUCCAUGACGCAGCAAGAAGCUAACACACCAGACAUGAUAGUGACAGGUAAUCUCACUCUCUUAUGUUUGAUGUGUAUGCUUUUGUGAACCCUGAUGUGUUUCUCUUUCCUUGUGGCUUCGAGAGCCGUAGAUAGGUCGGAUUGAUAGCUUAUGGGUUAUGGUAUUCCCUUUGGGUCAGUGGACCCAAGUGUGAUCCAUCAGUGGCAGAGUCAGUCUGCCGGUAGAGUAGAUGCCUUCCAGCUAGCCUAGCGGUUCUAGAUUUGACUGUUUGACGUCAUUCUAGAGUUGGAUUGGUUCUUCUACUAGUGGUGCUACCUGAGUCCGCAGAGACAAGGUAGUCAGGUUCUGAGGUUAGGAUGGAUCAGAGUUAGUCCUCAGAGGGGGACGAAGUAGGGAUACCUAGAGGUUCGAUAUCAGCCCUGCAGGCUCAUAGGUUGGCCAGGAGAGGUUGUCAGGAGUUUCUAGGUCGUGCAGGAGAGUUCAGUAGUCAUGUUAGGGAGUUGCCUCGGUACCAGUAGUGAGUUCUUAGGUGUUUUUCCCAGACGAGCUGCUAGGUGUACCAUCUGUUAGGGAGAUAGAAUUUGAAAUGAAAGUGAUGAUAGGGACCAGCUCGUCUCUACCCCUCCCUACAGGAUGGCACUUACAGAAUUAAAGUAGUAGGAAGAGCAUGUUGUAAGAGUAGGUAGUUAAGGGUUUUCAUCCGACUGAGCACUUCGCCUUGGGGUGUUCCAGAGUUGUUAUGAGGAUGAAGGAUGGAUCCCUAGGACUUUGUAUCGACUACAAGUCGUUGAACAAAGUCACUACCCAGAAUAAGUAUUUGUUACCUUGGCUCGACGAUCUAUUUUAAACCAGCUAGCAGGAGCUGGUUGCCCCUCCAAGAUAGAUCUGAAGUCCAGGUACCAUCAGUUAAGAUCAAGGAAGAAGAUAUACAGAGAGCAGUGUUUAGAACCAGAUAUGGGCACUAUGAGCUUCUAGGAAUGUCGUUCGGGUUAAGGAAUGCCCCUACAACAUUCAUGGAUCUCAUAAACAGAGUUUUAGUCGGUUUCUGGAUCACUCCGUUAUUGUCUUCAUUGACAGUACCUCGGUGAGUCCCAGAAAUGCGGAAGAGUAUGCCCAUUAUCUGAAAUCCGGGUUGCAGACCUUGAGGGAACAUGGCUUGGAUGCCCAGUUCUCCAAGUGUGAGUCCUGGUUGAGGAGCAUUGCAUUCUUGGGAAACGUUGUAUCAGGAAGUGGAAUUGAAGUAUGCCCCAAGAAGGUAGAGACUGUAGUUACCUAGCUUAGACCCACCAAUGCAAGGAUCAAAGGUUUUGGGGUUUGGCGGGUUACUACAGGAGAUCCGUCCUGGACAUCUCUAGAAGUUGCCGCUCCUGUAACCAGACUGACCAAGAAGGACCAGAGGUUGUAUGGUCUGUUUAGAGAGAAGAAAGUUUUGAAAGCUAAGGAAAAUGUUGAUGUCAGCACCAGUGGUAGCUCUGUCCGCAAAAAAAAAAAAAAAAAAAAAGAAGAUUUCACAGUGUCCUGUGAUGCGUUCCGGGUGGAACUAGAUUGUGUGUAAGUGUGAAGUGGCAGGAUGAUUGCUUAUGCUUCUAGGUAGCUAAAGAAGCAUGAGUUGAAUCAUCUUAAACCUGAUCUAGAGAUGGCGAUGGUAAUCUCUGCACUCAAGAUGUGGAGGCGAUACCUGUAUAAGGUAUGAUGACAGAUCCUUACAGAUCGAAAGAGCUUGCGAUACAUCUUGAGUCAAGGGAGGAGAAUCUGAGGCAGAGAAAAUGGGUAAGAACUGCAUGGUCAGAAAAAGAGGAAUCAGAACUGCUGUGAGUCAGUAGGAGAGUUAUGAAAAUGGUCCGCAAGAGGUAUGUAGAGUUUCAGAAGAGAGAAGAGUUUUAUCAAAGUGCGCUGAGUGAGCUUGAUGAGGUUCUCGAGAAAGUUGUGGUUUGCUAGAGGUGUCUCCUAAAGAGAGGGUGAUUCGUUAUGGGCAGAAAGGUAAAUUAGCUCCCAAAUACAUUGGACCCUUUGAAAUCCUGCAGAGGAUUUGGGGAAUGUAUCUCAUGAGUUAGAUUUGCCCACUUCAAUGGAAGAGAUCCAUCCGUUUUUCCAUGUUUCCACGGUAUACGAAUUCGUGUCGGGUCCGAGUGAGGUUCUUGAACGAACCAGAGGUGGAGAUCGUAGAGGAUCUCACCUAUGUGGAGCAGCUUGUACGGACCGCAGACACACAAGUUAGAACAGGUGGAAACAAGGAAAUCCCGAUGGUGAAAGUCCCUUAGAAUCACCUUAAGAUGAAAAGUGCGCCAGGGAGACCGAGGGUUCAUACUCCAGUGAUACCGUGUUUCUUUAUAGAUUAGAGCUUAUGUGUUGUUAUGAUUGUGCUUAUGUUAUUUUUAUGCAUGUGCCUGUUUGUUUGAACAUUCGGGGACGAAUGUUCUUAAAGGGGGGAAGAAUGUAAUAUCCGGCUAGAUCCCGGCAUCGGAAUCCCGACUUUCCGGCGGAAUCUCCGUUGGAAUCUGGAAUUUCUGGAGAUGCCAGAGUCUUCUAGGGGGUUAAAAUGUGUUUUCUAAAAUGUUUUCACUUGAUUUUAUGGUUUUAAAUGGAAAGGAAAUUGAGUUUUGAAAAUAUUAGGCUAAGGAGGCAUUUGCCAGGUUCGGCCGCCGAAAGUCAAGUUCGGCCGCCAAACAUGGGGCUGUUUCGGGAGUGCUUUAGGCUUCCAAAAGUGUGAGGCCAGAAACCAGGUUCGGCCACCGAACCUCAAGUUCGGCCGCCGAACAUGCAUGAGUUUAGGAGGCACGUUAGGCUGCCGAAGGUCGUCGACCAGGCCACCUAUAAAAGGCCCUCAGACCGAAAAUGGGUGAGUUUUCUCCCCAUUCUCGAGCUUAGGUGUGUUCAUGUCCUCCUCUAGUCAUUUUUAUGCUUUUUCUUCAAUCCUUCACGUUUUUAUAAGUUUCAUGGUUGUUUUGAAGAGUUUUGAGUUCAAAGAUCAAGUUUGGAGCUUGGAGAACCAAGGGGUUUGUUUCCUCCCAUCUCCAAGUUAGAGAUCACACCAACCCUCGAUCUUCAAGAGGUAAGUGUAGAUCUAUGCUUUCCUUUAUGUUUUAAUGAAGUUUUAAGGAGUUUUAAUGCUUGAGUAUGGGUAGAUAUGCAUGUUAGGGUUUAUGUGGAUUUUGUGCCCAAUAUGUGUUUAUGUGAUGUUAUGUUGAAGGUUUAAGCUAGGUUAUGCAUGUGGGAGAGUGUAUGCAUGAUUGGGAAAGAGCAAGUGAGAUUAUGGGUUGUUUUGAUGGUUUUGGCGUAUGUGGGUCAUAAACUAUCUAUGUAUGCUUUGGAUGUUGUUUUUGGAGUUUAAUCUAGUUGUUAAGCUCCUUUAUGCAUGACUAAGGGUUUAUGCUUGGUUUUGAGAAGUUUAUGCAUGUUUUAUGAGGUUGGAUGCUUGUUUUGGGGGGGNNNNNNNNNNNNNNNNNNNNNNNNNNNNNNNNNNNNNNNNNNNNNNNNNNNNNNNNNNNNNNNNNNNNNNNNNNNNNNNNNNNNNNNNNNNNNNNNNNNNNNNNNNNNNNNNNNNNNNNNNNNNNNNNNNNNNNNNNNNNNNNNNNNNNNNNNNNNNNNNNNNNNNNNNNNNNNNNNNNNNNNNNNNNNNNNNNNNNNNNNNNNNNNNNNNNNNNNNNNNNNNNNNNNNNNNNNNNNNNNNNNNNNNNNNNNNNNNNNNNNNNNNNNNNNNNNNNNNNNNGCCGCCGAAAGUGCCGCCGAAAGUGCCCUGUCCAGCCCUUUCAUGGGUGUUUUCUAUGAUUGUUUUAAGGAUGUUUUAGGGGGUUUUUGGGUAGUUGUUUGUGAAGUUGUUUAGAGUAUGUUUGGCACCUCACUGGAGUCCACCUGUGUAGGAUCGGACCCGAGGAACCGAGGUGUUUAGCAGUGUUAGCUGCUUCAGAGUCAGUCCUGAGCUAGUCAAUGUGAGUAGAACAUAACUCUUUUUAAUAUUAAAGAAAUUAAAUGUUCUAAGCAUAUUCAUGCAUCACGGAUACCAUGAUUAUGAAAUAGGUUGUUUGCAUUAGAGUUCACGAAUAUGUUGCAUUGCAUAAUACGGUGAUGAUGAUAUGGAUGAAUAUUGGAUGAUCCAUUAGCCCUCAGUAUGAUGUGUUAUGAUAUAACAUGAUAUGACAUGAUAGGACUUGUAUGGCAUGAUAUGAGAUGGAAAGACCAGGUGUGGCCGUAUCGCCCUUGGCAUAGAGUUAUGUGAAGUCCAGGCGUGGCCGUAUCGCCCGUGGCAUAGAGCAUUGUUGGACUUGUUAUGAGAUGAGAUCUAGAUGUAGAGGGCUAAUGGUGACGAAUUCAUCCUUGAUGUGUAUUGUUUGUGAUGUGAUGCAUGUCAUGAAAGCAUAUAUUAUAAUAAACUGUUUUCUCUAUAGUUCUGCUCACUGGGUUUUAUAGCUCACUCCUCUCCCCUAACCCCAGGUUUGCAGGGUCAGAGAUAGUCAGGAGAUCAGCAGGUUAUGUCUAUGGUCAUGUUUAUGUAAUAGAUUAGUAGUGGACAUGAUGUAAGGUAAAGAUAUGUAAUGAAAUCUAAAAUGUUAUAAUGUAAUGUAAUGGAUAGAGUUGUGUUUUGCCCUAGAAGUGUGGUUAAUCCCUUUGUACAUGGUCCUUAUGUAUGUUUUAUUAUGAGGCAUGAUAGCCAAGCUUAGUGUAUGUUGCCCCACGUGAGUGGUCGAUGAGAACUCUAGUGUUGGGAUUUAUGGUUAUGCGUUGUGCAUGCACAGGUUAAGCUUGGUUUUUGAAAGAAAGAAAAAGUUUUAUGUUUAUGUUUGAUCAUGUAUAGGGUUUGCUGGAUUCUGGUAAUAAAAGGGUGGAGGUGAAAACAUGGGAUAUGGUGGAUAUGGUGGGUAGUAGGAAGGAUAGGGCACGUGUGAGGGGUACAGGUGGUAGCUAGAGAAAUCCGAUGGACCUCCCAUCGGAUACUCGGGUCCCUGUGGGUAAGGUUGAUACUGAGAUGGGCAAGCAAAACCCGAGGCCUGAGUGCCUCCUUCAAAUUCUCCCAUACGCUCUCCUGAAAAACUCACACCUAGACUUUCGUCUCUUCUUUAAUCAUCCUCCACUGUUUCCCUAAUAUCCGCAAACAUCCUUUCCGGAUCUAUUCUCCUUCUGUUUACAUCAAAAGACCUUCUGGGGUCCCUUGAUGUUUCUCCUCUAUUAGUCCUACUCGACCGUGCCCUUGACGGAGCAGUAGGAGGAAGGGCAUCCAUGCCCUCAUUCUCAGGUGGAACUCCGGUCAAUCGUGUAGAUCGACGUGAGCUUCGCAUCUUGUCUUCUUAAAAACAGCAUAUAUCACAUAAACAUUAGCAUCAUAUGGUUCAUGUGGACACACAUGAACCCACAUCAUAUACAUAACAUAUCAUUAAUGUACAUGCAUACAAUCAUGGCAUUACACAUCAUCAUACUUUCAUCAAGACAGGACUCUACAUCCUAUCCUAAUGAACAUGAUUUUUCCUAAUGUGCUCACCCUUCUAUACAUCUUUGAGCCCGACACUCUCUAGGUCCGACCAUAUGAACCUAGGGUUUUGAUACCACUCUGUAACGACCUGAAAAUCGGACCGCUAUCGGCGCUAGAAUUCAGAUCGACUUAAGGUCACCGGAACCCGUAGCAAGCCUACUAUACAUCCUGAGUACCUGAUAAAAUCCCAUACAUGAUAAGACAUGAUCACAAAAACUUAAACAUUCCAUGAAACUAAGCUCAACCUGUACAUGCAUCAUACUGCAAACAUAAAACUCAUACUAGAGCCCUCAUCAAAUGCUCUAGUAAGGUAAACAUUACAUGUCUCAAGCUUAGUUCAAACAUAACUCAUAAUUAAAACUUUUACAUAAGGAUCAUGUUAACAAGGAUUACAAGGUAAAGAAAACUAGGGCCAAGCACAAUUCUAAUCCAUUAAAAUUUAUAUGUCCACAACUAUUCUAUUACAUUAGGCUAUACCCGCUACUAUGCCGGCUUCCCGAGCUAUCUUGGACCCUGCAAACCUGGGGUUAGGGGAAAGGGAUAAGCUACAAGAGCCUAGUGAGCAGAAUAUAAAAAUAAUUUAAUAAACAUAUGCUCGUAUGAAAUGCGUCACAACACAAACAAUUCACAUCAAGAUGAACUUAUCACCAGUAACCCUUUACAUAUUCCAAUGUGCCUGGUCCUCAAUGGAGCUCCUCAGGACUUUCGCUUAAAUAUAACAUAACAUAUCCAAUAUGCCAUGGGCAUAGAAUGGGCAAGCCCUGGUCUUUCCCUUACAUCGUGCGAGGGGCGUAGAAUGGGCAAGCCCUGGUCUUUUCGUAUCAUAUUAUAUCAUAACAUCUCGAGGACUAGUGGGUCAUCCAAUAUCCAUCCACAUCAACAGUAAAUUAUGCAAUGCAUCAUAUUCGUGAAUUCUAAUGCAGACAUCCUAAUACAUAAACAUGGCAUUCGUGAUGCAUGAACAUGCUUAAAAGUUUAGUUACUUUGAAAAUAUAGUUCAGUUCUACUCACCUCUGGCUGACGCUCGCCUAACAAUGACGCAGCUAACUCACUGAAGGCCUCUACGGUCUCCCAAGUCUGAUCCUACAUAGAUGGACUCAAAUGAUGGACCAAACAUAACUAUUACAUGACUCUAAACAACUCCCCAAAAAUCUCCUAAAACAUAUCAAAACAUGCACAUAAAACAAGCAGAGGAAGGCUGGGCAGGGAACUUUCAGCGGCAGGUUCGACGGCCAAAGGUCCCUCACAGAUUCAAAAGUCAGGGACUUUCCGGGGCUGGUUCGCAGCCGAAACUCGACACAGAUCCGAAAGUCAGUAAUCUUCGGGGGCAGGUUCGGCGGCGUAAAUCCCUUCACAGAUCCGAAAGUCCAUGCUUUAGGGGGCAGGUUAGGCGGCCAAAAGGCUGCCUCCACAAGCAGGUUCGGCGGCCGAACCUUGCUUCGGCAGCUGAACCUGGGUUCUCCAGCAAGGCAGAACCCGAUUCUGCCCUAUGCACACAGCCACCCAACUCUCCAAUCCUCACACCCAACUCCUAAAAAACAUACAUACUCACUUAUCAAGUAUAAAGGGCAUAAAAACUAGUCUAAACCCCAACAAACAACAAUAAAAUCACAUAAGAGCAAACAUUCAUCAUCAAAACUAACACAAACAAUAAAACUUUAGAUCUAACCAUUUCAUGCAUUUUUAACCCUUUACCCCUUCUUAAAACUUGAUUAAAACAUAAGAAAAGCAAGGAUCUAGGCUUACCUCUUGGAGGUCUAAAGGUGACAGCAACCCCAACGUGGAGAUGAGGAAAAACGGUCUCCGGAGGUCUCCAAGGUUUAAAAACUCGGAUUCAAGUUCAAAUCUUCAAAAACAAGAGAAAAUUCAUGAAUUUCUGAAAGAUUUGAAGGAAAAACAACAAAAACAUCAAAGGAUGGAAAGAACUCCAGGAAAUGCUGCACCACCUCCUCCCCCAGCAGAACCAGAAAUUUCUGAAACCCAACUACCCAAACCUAACCCAUCAGCAGGGAGCAAGGUGAAAAUGAUGGACUAUCUGAAGUUGGAUGCUCCUAAGUAUAAAACAGGUGAUGAUCCAUUUGAGUACCUCAAGACGGUGAAAAUAAUAACUGAUGAGUUGGGGGCUAGUGACAGUAGAGCCAUUCAGAUGGUGGGGUUCACUCUUAAAUGCAAGAAGGCAAAGGAAAAAUUAUGUGGACUCGAGACUGGACAGCCUAUCUUAGGAAUAGUUUACAAAUGAAUUUGCAGCUCCUUCAACUUUGCUGGUGCCAUCCUGUAGGGAGGGAUAGAGAUUGGUCUGGUUUCAGGCAUCACUUCUAUUUCAAACUCUAUCUCCCUAGUAGGUGGUAGUCCUGGAAGCUCGUUUGGGAAGACAUCUGGAAACUCUCUGACUACGGGCACUGAGGCUGGCUCCCUAACCUGACUAUCAAGCUCUCUACAUGAGCUAGAAACCCCUGACAACCCCUCCGGAGCAACCUACGAGCCUGCAGGGCUGAUAUCAGACCUCUAGGCAUACCCCUCCUGUCUCCUUUGAAGACAAACCCAGACCCAUCCUGAUCUCUGAACCUGACUACCUUGUCUCUGCAAUCCAAGGUAGCACCAUGAGUAGAUAGCCAAUCCAUCCCUAGAAUGACGUCAAAAUUUGUCAAGUCUAGAACCAUAAGGUCGGCUGGAAGGCAUCUAUCCUCAACAAACACUGGGCUAUGCCAGCAGACUUACUCUGCCACUGAUGGGUCGCACUUGGGUCCACUGAUCCAAAGGGGACACUCUAAUCCAGAGACUAUCAAACCCAACCUCUCUACGGCUCUCGGAGCAACAAAAGAAAGAGAAAAGCAUCAGGGUUCAUAAGAGCAUACACAUCAGAACAUUCAAAAGUGAGCGUACCUGACACCACCGUGUUCGAUGUGUUAGCCUCCUGCUGAGCCCGGGUGAAGAUUCGAGCUGGAGCUGAAGGACCUUCUCCGCGGGAACCUACGGAAGAAGAGGCUAAUCACCUCGGUUCCUCAGGUCCAAUCCUACACAGGUGGACUCAAAUGGGGGACCAAACAUACUCUAACAUGACUCUAAACAACUCCCCAAAAACCCCCUAAAACAUCAUGAAACAUGCAUGCAAAACAUGCAAAGGAAGGUUGGGCAAGGGACUUUCGGCGGCAGGUUCGGCAGCCGAAACUCCCUCCAGAUCCGAAAGUCACUAACCUUCGGGGGCAGGUUCGGCGGCCGAAACUCCCCUCCAGAGCCGAAAAUCCAACUUUCAGGGGCAAGUUUAGGCGGCCUAAAGCUGCCUUCAUAGGCAGGUUCAGCGGCCGAACAUGGCUUCGGUGGCUGAACCUGGGUUCUCCAGAAUGGCAGAACCCGAUUCGCCUCUCUCAUCUAGUCUCCCAAAACCCCCCAAACUCAUACUCAACACUCAAAAGCAUGCAUAAACGCAUCAUCAAGCACAUAGGGGCAUAAAACUAGCCUAUACCCCAACAAACAUCACAUUUAACAUCACAUUUAACAAUAAACUAACAUAAACCCUAACAUUUUACAACUAGCCUAAACAUGCAUUAAACACCCAUAAAACCCCUUAAAACUUACUUAAAACCUAAAAGAAGAGGAGGAUCUACACUUACCUCUUGAAGAUCGAGAGGAGAUGCGAUCCCAAACUUGAAGAUAUGGAGGGAUGAGCUCCGGGGGUCUCCAAGUUUCAAAACUUUGAUCCUAGCUUAAAAUCUUCAAAGCAAAGGUAAAAACUCAUAAAAAUCAUGAGACUUGAAGGAAAAGCAUAAGAUCGACAAGGGGUGGCGGAGACACCUUGCCCAAAAAUGGAGAGAGAAAACUCGCCCAUUUUCGGACAGGGGGCCCUUUAUAGGUGGCUGGCCAGACCACUUUCGGGGGCCAAAAGUGCCUCCGCAUCCGCCCCAUGUUCGGCGGCCGAACAUGAGGUUUGGCGGCCGAACCUGGGUUUUUUCCUCAAGCACUUUUCUUUUCAAAACUCAAUUUCUUUCUUCAUUAAAAUCAUAAAAACAUAAAAACAUUUCAGAAAACCUUUAUUUUACCCUUCUAGAAGGCUCCGGCAUCCGAGAAUUCCGGAUUCCAAUGGAGAUUCCGCCGGAAGGUAGGAAUUCUGAUGCUGAGGUCUAGCUGGGUAUUACAUUGAUCCACAACAAGGCUACGGACAUGUGAUCAGAGAUUUGGGAUGCUAAAAUGGAUGUACUCACCUCAUUCACCCUUCUCGGUGGCUAUUCUUGGUCUCUAAAUUGUUGAGAGGCUGCUGCCAUAGUGGAAAUUAAAUUCCUUAUUUCUUGAGGUGAUUUGUCUUCAAUUGAUCCUCCACAUGCUGCAUCAAUAAAUUUUCUUUCUGAAGGUAGCAAACCUCCAUAGAAAUAUUCGAUGAGUGAUUUGUCAUAAAUAUCAUGUUGAGGGCAGCUUGUGCACAACCUUUUGAACCUCUCUCAGUACUCAUACAAGCCUUUAGAAUGCUUUUGCCUUAUACCACUUAUCUCUCAAUGGAUGCCAAUGGCUUUUAAGGUUGGAAAGAAUUUGCUCAAGAAUGCUCUCUCACCAUACCAGCCCAUGAUGUGAUGGAUCCCGGUGGCAAGUAGAAUAGCCAAUCUUUGGCAUAGUCAUCAAGGGAAAAAGGGAAGGCUCUAAGUUUAACAUGCUCUUCUAAAAUAUCUUGGGGUCUCAUGGUUAAGCAUACAGUGUGGAAUUCCUUCAAGUGCUUGUGGGGAUCCUCAUUUUCUAGGCCUCUAAAUUUGGGAAGGAGAUGGAUCAGGCCUGUCUUCAAUUCAAAGGGUGCUGUCAAUGGGGGAUAGGCAAUGCAUAAUGGUGCCUGAUCUCCUGUUGGUACAGCUAGCUCGCGGAGUGUUCUCUCCCAUGGCUGUGGUGCACGGAUGGGCACGUUUUCAGCUUCAGCUUCAACUUCUUCAUACGCUGCAGGUGGUUCUGCCAUUAUUUGAUUUUCUGCAGCAACCUGGAAUUCUAUUUCUGGUUCAACUAUAGCAGUAGCAGGUGCGGUAGUAGGUGUAUCUGCUGGUGCAGUAAAUUCUGCAGCAGGGGCAGUAGCUAUUGUAUCAGAUGGUUCAACGUCAGAUUGAGUGGUAGACACUCGGCUUGUUGUUGUCGCCGAUGAAGAUGCUUUUGAGGCUUGGUUCCUCAAGUUUGCUUGUUUCCUCAAGCUCUUGGCAGUGCGUUCUAUCUCCGGAUCGUAAAGAAUAGUUUCUUUACGGCUAGCCCUAGUCAUAAAGGGAAAAUACAUUAGUUUAGAUCAAAUCCCCGGCAACGGCGCCAAUUUUUGAUAGCGAUUGUCGAAACCGUAAAAAAUAAACCUAUUAACAAUCAACAAAAAUAAUUUGUAGAUAGUGGCAAUAGGAUCGAACCACAGGGAUUUGACACUACUGAUCUUUCUAAUAAUGACUUGGAUAAAUAAAUAACAAAAAUAAAAAGAGGGGGGUUUGUUGGAGAUGAUAGUAGACUAGAAUUAAAACUGAGUAAAAGAAAGCAAUAAUUAAAAAGAUGAGCAAAUCAAUGGGAGAAAGACUCUAGUUGAAGUUUGGAUCUAUUUCAGUUGUUUAGAAUUGAUCAUUGAUUCUUUGUUACUCCUAUUUAUUUCAAUAAAUUAGUUUAGGUUGUGGAAGACGCUUCUCACAACCAAAUUCCUCCUUAGUUUUAGUUCGACUAGGAAACGUUCGCUAAUCAAACACUAGUUAACAAGUUGCCAAGGAACGUCCUUGAGAUUUUUUACUUUUCAACUGUUAACUGCAUUAGGACUUAGAGAAACCUAAUUCUAACCUUGCCAACCGCGUGGUCAAGUUUAGAUUAUGCAACCAAGUGUGCUUGUGUUCAAACAAUCUAAGCAAUUACGGACCUAAAUUGUAACACCCCUUACCCUAUCAAAGUGUAGACAGAGCAAGGAAUAUCACAAACUAUGCCUCUUUUGAUAUAUCCAGACUAAACAAUUUCCUUUAUCUGUAAAUACCAAGUUUUAGGUAGUCCAAGCAAUUUUUAUAAGGUGAAUAAAGUAACUGUGAGAUUUUAAACCAAAAUGUAUUUUGGCAAAAUUUCCUCUAUUUCAUAAUCACUUUAACCUGUAAUACAUAUGAAAAUCACACUUAUAAUUACACUAACAACUGUCAUUUGAUAUCUUACUAUUCCUUGAUUUACAUAAUCUUUACAACUCACUCUAUUAAAUAUGUACAUGCCAAAAUAUAAUUGUACUAUGACUCAGAGACUCAAAACAACCAGCUAUGAUAAUGGCUUUGAUAUCUGAUGUAGACCUCUGAUGAACUCCGCGUAUCUACUUUAUCUACAACCUGUGUGAGGUAAGAACCAACACGCUGACCUAAUGCUCAAUGGGUGAUAGAAAACAAAUAACAAAAUAAAGCAAACAAGUUCACUUAUACAGAUAAUCAAGUAAACAAUUUCAAGCUAAUCAAAAGUUGUUAACAUUCACUGAUAAUUUCACAAAACAAGUAUCAACCUUAAUUAGGUCCUUAGCCCUCAUAACCACAUAGCAGGGUCGACUAGGUAGAUAAGGAAUUAUAACGGUAGGCACAGGGUGCCGAACGGUAGGCUCAGAGGCCAAAACUAUGAUAGCAGGGUUUUGUGGCCGUGCUUAUGAGGUACCUGAUAUGUAACCUCAAAUAUAGAUCAUGUAUCGAUAGCAGUAUUGCGAACUCUGUAUGUUUAUAUGGCAUGCCAUACCCUUAAGCUAACCUCGACUCCUAUUACGUUUACCAGGGCCAAGUAUCAUUAAUUCAAUGUAAAUGCACAUCAUUUGAAGCUAUUUGAAUUCAUUUCCAAAAUACACAUAUCAUAUGUCAAAGUCAACAAGAUGAGAAAUUCAUGGCAAAUGGUGCAAAACUUUGUCAACAUAGUAUUCCAGUUUGAGAAAACUGCAUUCUGCCUUUCAAUUUGAGAAAACUGCAUUCUGCCUUAUCUUUCAUAAACUUUUCAAGUAGCUUAGAGUUACAAUUUGACUUCAGUUUCUUCAUAACAAAUGUACAUUUAUGUCUUAUCUUUCCAACAAGGUAUAGUUCAUGCAAUUCUGAACACUCUAACUUAAAUUAUGAAUUUUUCUUUACAAGCUGCUCAAUAAGAUAUUAAACAGUCCAGUAUUAGUACCUGUUUAUAGUAUCACAAAACAUAUCAGAUUCAUGUAUUUUCAUAUAAAUUCAAGCUUAAUUAUCUUCUACAAAAUUUUAGGUAUAUUUCUUAAGAUUCAUUUGGCACUUUUUUUAAUAAAUUUCACUGAGUAUAUAAUUAAUUAUGGUACAAUCAAUACACACUGUUCUGAAUGCACUAACUCUGUGUCCAGUUUAGGUUCACUUGAAACUUUCAUCAUCUUACCUACAGAUUCAGAAUUUGGUCAAUUCAUGAAAGUUUUAGAUCUUUGUCUCAGCUUUCAUUUGGUAUAUCUUAGGCCUAAUUUUAAUUAAUACACAAAAAGUUAUGAAGUUGUCAACACAAGCUGCCCUGUUACAACUUAUUCUGCCAGGUUUGCACUUUUAGCUCUCAUGUUAAAUUUCUUUACUCUAAGCCUUUCAAACGCCACUUUAACAUUUAUAUGACAUAUUUAUACAAUCAAAGCAACAUUUUCAGCAAGUAAAAUCAAUCUCCAACUUCAUAUAUCAAUGAUAAAAUUCAAGGAAAACAGAAAAUCAUUCAAACACCAAACCUUUCUUGAAUUCCUCUUUCUUUUCCUCUUCUAUUCUCUAGCUAUCUCCUUUCCCUUUGAUGUUCCUUCACCUAGGUCAAUUUAUGUCUUGGGAAAGGAUUGAAUAAGUUGUAAAUUAAAGCUUUAUAAUUCAAAUUCAUGCAUGAAGAAAUGAGAAGAUGUUAUUUCCUACACUUUUCUAAGCUUACCUUUGAUUUUCAAACUUGGUGCAUAUGGAACCCUAAACUUUUCUUCUUCAAUCCCUUCAAUAUAUGGCUGUUCCUUUAGCUCUUGGUCUUAGGAUGAAUUUUAAUUAAAGCAAGAAGUUAAUUGGGUGAGAUUUGGCUUGGCUUUGGUGGAAGGAAGACAAAAUAAAGCUUUGGUUUUCAAUGGUGGGAGCUACGGCAAAGUGAAAUGGUGGAGAAGAUAAUCCCUUUUUCAUUUUGCUUUAUCAUUUCUCCUUUCCUUAGUUAGGUGACACAUGGAAAUAAACUUAAUUUUAUGUUUUAACUUUCAAUUUUUACACUUUAACGUACUAAACUUGUAACGACCCCAAAAUGGACCGUCACCGGCGCUAGGAUUCAGGUCGGCUUAAGGCCGCCGGAACCCGUAGCAAGCUUGCUAUACUCUCUGUGUACCUGUAAACCUCAUACAUGAUCAUACAUUUUCUGUGAAAAUAAAACUCUUUUCUGAACCAAGGCUUAACCUGUGCAUGCACUAUCUCUGUACUCUGUACUCAUGUACUCUGUACUCUGUAUCCCUGACUAGAGCUUGCUCUAGAUGGGUUUACUCAUACCUGUUAAGCCUGGUUUUCACAUACAGGAAAACAUAUAUACAUAUACAGAUCAUGUACAAAACAUACAUCACUAGGUCAAGCAACAACUAUUACAUCUCUUUAAUAUUACAUGUCCACUCUAAGCUAUUACAGAUCUCUUUACUUUUCCUGUACUCUGCUGGACUGUCCCUGUACACUGUACACUGAACCUGCAAAACUGGGGUUAAGGGAGUGGGAUGAGCUCUAUAGCCCAGUGAGUAGAACAGUAAAACAUCUCAGUAAAAUAUGAUCUCAUGGAAUGCACCAUAUCACAAACAAGCCACAUCAAGAGUAAACCUGUCACCACAUAGUCCCAGUAACUCUGUGCCAGGGCGUAGAAUCGAGCACCUGGUCUUCCUGUCAUAUAUGUAUAUGUGUAUAUAACACCUCUGUACUUACCAUUGCCAGGGCGUAGUCAAAGGCUCCUGGACUUUACUAUACCUGCCAGGGCGUAGUCAAAGGCUCCUGGACUUCACUAUACCUGCCAGGGCGUAGUCAAAGGCUCCUGGACUUCCUGUCUGAGACUAUUGGAUCAUUCAGCAUUCAGUCACAUCACCAAAUAACAAUGCAAUGCAACAUAUUCGUGAAUACUAAUGCAAUCAACCUAUGGCAUAAACAUGAUGCAUGAGAUAUGCUUAAAGCAGUUAUGGUUCAAUUAAAAGUCAUAAGUUUAGUUCCACUCACCUCUGGCUAUCUGGACUGACUGACUCUGCAGGUUCUGAACCUCUGGAGCAGUACUCACUGCUGCUCUCUCUGGUUCCUCUGGUCUGUACCUAUACAGAUGGACUCAAAUGAGGGACCAAACAAGCGUAGAAUAACUCUCUUAAACUCCCCAAGAAUCCCCUUAAACUCACUCAACUAUCUAUGCAAAGCAUGCAAAAGAAAACUGGACAGGAUACUUUCGGCGGCAGGUUCGGCGGCCGAAUGUCCUCUCCAGAGACGAAACUCAAGCACCUUCGGCGGCACCUUCGGCGGCCGAAUCCCCCAAACAGAGCCGAACAUGCAAAAACACGCGGGGGCAAGCUGUGGCAAGGAAGCCACCAUGCAGGAGGUUCGGCGGCCGAAUGAACCUUCGGCUGCCGAACCUGAGUUCAUCCAGAACUCAGCUUCAACGGCAAACCAUCUCCUCCUUCCCUUCAACACUUUCUAACAUGCAUCCUUCACGUAUGCAACACACAUAUAUUCAAGUAUAUGUUCACAGGGGUCCAAAACUAGCUAAUAACCCCAAACAACAAAACAAACAUAACACAUCAACAUGUAUACAUACAUAAAUCAUCAAACACUACCAUGAAUAACCUAAGCAUGCUUCUCCUUCCUUUCACUCUUCAGAAAACAUAUAAACAGGGUCUAAAACUGCCCUUACCUCUGGAAACAGGAAGAUACACACACUGAACAAAGGAAAAACAGAUCAACCUCUCUUCAAACUCUCAAAAUCUCAAAAGCGUAACUUUUGUUUCUCUCAACUCUCAACACCUUUGCAAGCACCUCAAACUGCUGUAAGAACAACCAAAAACAUGUACAGAUGAGUCAUAAGAGACGUGGUCAUUCCAUAGCAAGAAUCUGAGGCCAACACUUGUCAAAAAAACACAUGACUCAGCUCACUAGCCAACUCAGCUUCGGCUGCCCAAUCGCAUGCGAAACCAUGCAACAUUCGGGGGCCGAACUUGAAUUUCAGAAGCCGAACAUUGGGCACUUUCGGCGGCCGAACUUACCUUCGGCGGCCGAACUUGGCUGAAGUCUCCAUGAACUAUUUAUCUUCAAAACUCAAAACUAUAUAACUUAUAAACCUGAAAACACAUCAUAACACUUAGAAAACAAAACUCCUACCCUUAUAAGAAUCCCAACACCCCGGAUUCCACCAGACAACAGGAAUUCCGGUGCCGGAUUCUAGCCGGGUAUUACAAAACUCUUUACCAUGUUUUAAUUUAGUUUUUAAACUUUCAAUAAUCAUAGAUUGACCUACUAAACUAUACAUUUAGCCUUUUAGAAGUCCUUUUCACUUAAGCAAGCAUGACGGAUUUAAACAAGCACCUCAAGCAAGCAUGUUGGGAAACCCUAAGCACCUCCCGAAAGUGACUCGUUCCCGACUCACUAAUCACACUGGCUACUUCAUUUUUGGAUAUGUCCGUUUCUUUAUUUGAGUUUUCUAUGAUUCAAUUAUUAGCAGCUUAGAGUUAAGCUAGCUCCUCCCCUAAUGCCACUUACUCUAGUAGUAAAAUAGCCUAACCCUACCUUGUGAUGGCACUACUCUAGCUAUGGAUUUGAGGAUGUUACAACUCUUCCCCUCUUACGGAAUUUCGUCCUCGAAAUUUUACCUGCUUUGAAUAGCUAUGGAUAUUGUUGCUUCAUCACUUCUUCACUCUCCCAUGUAGCUUCUUCUGCCUUGUGAUUUCUCCACAACACUUUCACUAAGGGAAUCUUCUUAUUUCUUAACUCUUUCAUUUCCCUUGCUAAAAUUUUCAUUGGUUCUUCUUCAUAAGUUAAAUCAGCUUGUACAUCAAUGGUUUCUGCUGAAAUGACAUGUGACGGGUCCGAUCUGUAUCUUCUUAACAUGGAUAUAUGGAAGACAUUGUGUAUUCUGUCUAACUCUGGAGGUAAAGCUAGCCUGUAGGCUACUGGACCCACACACUCAACUAUUUCAUAUGGACCAACAAACCGAGGGCUUAGCUUACCUUUCUUGCCAAAUCUUAGCACUUUCUUCCACGGAGAAACUUUUAGAAACACUUUGUCCCCAACAACAAAUUCUAUAUCUUUUCUUUUCAAAUCUGCAUAGGAUUUUUGCCUAUCUGUUGCAACUUUCAAUCUUUCUUUGAUAAUUUUCACUUUCUCCUCGGUCUGUCUUAUCAAGUCUGGACCUACAAGUUUAGUUUCACUAAGUUCUGUCUAGCAUAAUGGGGUUCUACAUUUUCUGCCAUACAAUGCUUCAUAGGGAGCCAUUUUAAUACUAGUCUGAUAACUGUUGUUGUAAGCAAAUUCUACUAGUGGGAGAUAUCUUUCCCAGCUUCCUUCAAAUUCAAUUACACAACUUCUAAGCAUAUCUUCCAAAACUUGAAUCACUCUCUCUGACUGGCCAUCUGUCUGAGGAUGAAAAGCUGUACUAAAAUUCAAUCUUGUCCCUAAAGCUUCAUGUAGUUUUUUCCAGAAUCUAGAUGUGAAUCUUGGAUCUCUGUCUGAUAUGAUAGAGAUAGGAACACCAUGUAGUCUCACAAUUUCAUUAAUGUACAAUUCUGCAUACUUUUCCAAUGUAUAAUCCAUUCUGAUUGGCAAGAAAUGCGCUGAUUUAGUUAACUUGUCAACUAUUACCCAGAUGGCAUCUUUCUUCCUUGGUGUGAGUGGCAAUCCUGUCACAAAAUCCAUGGUAAUUCUAUCCCAUUUCCAUUCUGGUAUAGCGAUAGGCUGCAAUAACCCUGAUGGAACCUGAUGUUCUGCUUUCACCCGUUGACAUGUCAAACAUUUUGUUACCAAUUCAGCUAUAUCUCUUUUCAUACCUGGCCACCAAUAGUGCAUCUUCAAAUCUUGAUACAUCUUAGUGCUACCUGGAUGUAUAACAUAUGGACUGUUGUGUGCCUCUAUAAGAAUACUCUGUUUCAGCUCUCCAGCAUUAGGUACACAUAUUCUAUUACCAUAGUACAAGUAGCCAUCAUCACUUAUCACAUGCUUCUGCUUCUUCCCCUCUUGUACUUGUCUAGUCCAUAAGGCUAUCUCUGUAUCUUCUUUCUGUGCUCCUUUAAUUUGUUGCAGUAAGUUGGGUCUAAUUUUCAAUUAUGCUAUGAUAGCUCUAUCAUCUGCUAUAGUCAACUGCACAUUCAUUGCUUUUAAUGCAAAUAAGGAUUUCCUGCUGAGUGCAUCUGCUACCAGAUUAGCUUUUCCUGGGUGAUAAUCUAUAAUGCAAUCAUAAUCUCUCAGUAACUCUAGCCAUCUUCUUUGUCUCAGGUUUAGCUCUUUCUGUGUGGGCAAGUAUUUCAGACUUUUAUGAUCUGUAUAGAUGUAACAUUUCUCACCAUAUAAGUAAUGUCUCCAUAUCUUUAGUGCAAAAACUAUGGCCGUUAACUCUAGAUCAUGGGUAGGAUAGUUCUUCUCAUGUGGCUUCAAUUGUCUGGAAGCAUAGGCAAUCACUUUACCUUCUUGCAUCAAAACACAUCCAAGUCCAUUGUGAGAAGCAUCACUGUAUAUCACAAAUUCCUUUCCAAAAACAGGUUGUGUAAGUACAGGUGCUUCGGUGAGCAUAGUCUUCAAUAUGUCAAAGCUUGCCUGACAUCUAUCAUCCCAAACAUACUUAACAUUCUUAUGUAAUAAUUUAGUCAAUGGAGCUGCUAUAAGUGAAAACCCUUUCACAAACCGUCUAUAGUACCCAGCUAGACCCAAGAAACUCCUGAUCUCUGCAACAUUCUUUGGUGGCUUCCAUUCCAGAACAGCUUUAAUCUUCUGUGGUCCACCCUGAUUCCCUUUGCUGAUACAACAUGUCCCAAAAAUGUUACUUUAUUGAGCCAAAAAUCACAUUUACUGAACUUAGCAUAAAGUUGCUUUUCCCAUAGAGUCUGCAAUACUACCCUCAGAUGCCUGUCAUGGUCUUCCUUAGUUUGAGAGUAUACCAGAAUAUCAUCAAUGAAUACUACAACAAACUGGUCUAAAUAUGGAUGGAAGAUACGGUUCAUCAGAUCCAUGAAUGAUGCAGGUGCAUUUGUUAACCCGAAUGGCAUAACCAGGAACUCAUAGUGUCCAUAUCGUGUCCUGAAUGCAGUCUUAGGCACAUCUGCCCCUUUAACUCUCAACUGAUGGUAGCCCGAUCUCAAAUCUAUCUUACAGAAAAUGCUGGCCCCUUUUAACUGAUCAAACAAAUAAUCUAUUCUAGGCAGUGGAUAUUUAUUCUUUAUAGUUACCUUAUUCAACUGUCUGUAAUCAAUGCACAACCGAAGAGAUCCAUCUUUCUUUUUUACAAAUAACACUGAUGCACCCCAUGGUGAAACACUAAGUCGAAUAAAGCCCUUAUCAAGUAACUCUUGUAACUGUAUUUUCAACUCUUCUAAUUCUGUAGGAGCCAUUCUGUAAGGAGCAAUUGAAAUAGGUGCGGUACCUGGCACAACUUCUAUAGCAAAAUCCACUUCCCUUUCUGGAGGUAACCCUGGCAACUCUUCAGGAAAUACAUCUGGAAAAUGACAUACUGUGGGUAGGUUUGACACACUUGGGCCUUCCUUCUUAGUUUUAAUCACACUAGCUAGAUAGGCUGUACAGCCUUUUCUAAUCAACCUCCUAGCUGUAGUGGCAGAUAUGACAUUAGAGAGGUAAUCUGACCUCUCACCCAUAACUAUAACCUCAGAACCCUCUGAUGUUUUGAGUGUGACUCGCUUUAACUUACAAUCAACUAUGACAUGAUGUCUAGACAAGCAAUCCAUACCCAAAAUCACAUCAAACUCUCUAAAAGGUAACUCUAUCAAAUCACCUAAAAAGGUGUGACCUUGCACACAUAUAGGACAAUCUCUGUAAACUCUAUUCACAAUCACAAGAUGUCCUAAGGGAUUGGUCACUGCUAUGUCAUGUUCUAAGAGUUCUACUUGAAUUCCCUUGACAUUACUGAUGGGUAUGCUAAUGUAUGAAUGUGUGGAACCAGGAUCAAUUAAUGCAUAAACAUAUUUGCCAAAGAUAGAAAAUUUACCAGCUAUAACAUCUGGUUUGUCUUGGUCUUACUUUGCACGAAUAGCAUAUGCCCUGGCAGGUGCUCUAGUGUCUGGUCUGUCUACUGUCUCUAAUACUCUGUGACUCUGAGCGUUACUAGAUUCACCUUUACCUCUACCUCUGCCUCUAGACCCUGUCUGCAUAGAUCUCUCUAUCUGCAUAGGCUGCACUGACUGGCCUCUAGGAUAAUCCCUCAUAAAGUGGUCUAAGCUUCCAUAUAAGUAGCAAGCCCCAAUUAAUCUCCUGCAUACUCCGCCAUGUCUCCUGCCACAAUGCUCACAUAUUGGUGGCAACCCUCUACCUGGUCCUCCUGUACUAGAUACUGAGGUAGUUUGCUGUCCAGACCUCACUACUGAACUCCGCCCAGGUCUCUGAAUCUGCCUAGGUGGCCCUCUCUGCCCUGUCUGCUGAAAUUCCCUUUGUCUCUUACUAGUUGUCUGUGAUGCAAAGGACUGUCCCUGAUACUGGCUCUGGCUCCUCUUCUGCUGCCCUUUCUGCUUUCUACUUUGCUCUUCUUCUUUAAUUCGCUCCAGGCUGUGGGCUGUCUCUACUAAAACUGAAAGUUCCCUGAUGUGCAUAGCUGUGAGGUACAUCCUGAUAUUAGCAUGUAAUCCUUGCUCAAAGCGUUUACAUCUCUCUUCCUCUGUAGGAACUAUCUCUGUGGCAUACUUACUAAGUCGAACAAAUUCUCGCUCAUACUCAGUUACUGUAAGCCUGCCCUGUCUGAGGUAUAAGAACUCCCUCCUUCUCUCCUCUAUAUAUAAGGCCCCAACAUAUUUCUUCUUAAACUCUGCCAAAAAGAAUUCCCAAGUCUGCCGCUCUAGUCGAACCAUCUGUGUUAAUGUUGUCCACCAUCUAUAGGCUUCAUCCUUUAGCAAUGAUACUGCACACAUUAAGCUCUCUGCUGGUGAACACUGUAGCUACUGUAAAACCCUUUCUGUACUUUCUAGCCAGAAUUCUGCAGCUGAAGGAUCAUCUUCCUUUUUACCUCUAAACUCUGUAGCACCAUAUUUUCUGAGUUUUUCUAUUAGAGGCAUAGGUUGUGCCUGGGCUACAAUAGGUGGGGGAACUUCAACUGCUACAGGUGGUUGUGGUGAUACCUCUGGCACAUUUUGGGUAACCCUCCUAAGCAACUCAGUUAUUUGCUGAAACAAUGCAUCCUGCCCUGAUCCGCCAGCAGCAGCAGGUGGAGGAGUAGCAGCAGGUGCAGCUGCCUCAGAGGGAGCAUGACUCUCUACCUCUUCAUCUAUUGCUCUUUGUGACUCAGAUGACAUCUUCUAUCAGACCUAAAGACAUAAAGAAAGAGAUUUACAUCAGAACUGUAAUACCCAGCUAGACUCCGGUAUCGGAAUUCCUACCGUCCGGUGGAAUCUCGGAUGUCAGAAACCUCUAGAAGGGUAAAACCAUGUUUUCAUAAAAUGUUUUAAUGUAUUUUAUGGUUUUAAGCAAGAAAGGAAAUGAGUUUUGUAUGAAAAUAGCCUUGGAGGAAAACUCAGGUUUGGCCGCCGAACCUCAAGUUCGGCUGCCGAACAUGCAUGCGCUUCGGGAGUGCUUUAGGCCCCCGAAGGCAUAAGUGAGGGAAGUCCAGGUUCGGCCGCCGAACCUUAUGUUCAGCCGCCGAACAUGGCAUGCAUGCGGAGGCAUGCUAGGCCCCCGAAAGUGGCCUGGCCAGCCACCUAUAAAGGGGUCCCCAUGUCUGAACGGGUGAGCUUUUCUCCCCGUUUUCGGCCAAGGUGAGUUCUUCGCCAUCCCUCAUCGAUUUUGAGCUUCUUCCUUCGAAUCUUUAUGAUUUUCUUAUAGUUUUCACUUGGUUUGAAGAUAUUUGAGCAAAAGAGCAAGUUUUGAAGCUUGGAGACCAAAGAGGUGAUUUCUCCCCAUCUCCAAGCUAGGAUCGUCUUUCCUCUCGAUCUCCAAGAGGUAAGCUUAGAUCCAACAUUCCUUGUAUGUUUUAAGCAAGUUUUAUGAAGAUCUAUGGGGUAGAAAUGCAUGUUUAGGUUAUUGUUGAGUUUAUGGGUUUAUGUUAUGUUUAUGAGCAAUGUGGGUAGUAUGUGUAUGUUUGAUGUGUUUUGGUUGGGGUUUAGGAUAGUUUGAGACCCUUAUAUGCUUGUUGGCUUGUGUUUGCUUGUUGUAGAAUAAGUAAAUGCAUGUGUGAUUGGAUUGGGAGAUUUUUUAUGCAUGAAAGAGGCUUAGUUCUGCCCUUGGGAAGAACUCAGGUUCGGCAGCCGAAGGCUCUUUUGGCCGCCGAACCUGCCUGUGGAGGCCAACUUUUGGCUGCCGAACCCUGCCCCCGAAAGUGGACUUUCGGCUCUGGAAGGGAGUUUCGGCCGCCGAAGGUGCCGCCGAACAUGCAUGAGUUUCGUCUCUGGAGGGAACCUUCAGCCACCGAAAGUGUCGCCGAAGGUGCAUGACUUUCGGCUCUGGAGGGACUUUCGGCCGCCGAACCUACCGCCGAAAGUGCCCUGUGUAGCCCUUCUUUGCAUGUUUUCUAUGAUUGUUUUGAGGUGUUUUAAGGGGAUUUUGGGGAGUAUUUUGAGUCAUGUUCUUGGAUAUUUGGUCCCUCAUUUGAGUCCACCUGUGUAGGUUCGGACCCGAGGAACCGAGGACCCCAGCAGUGAGUUAACAGCUUUAGAGUCAGCCUGAGGUGAGUAGAAUAGACCUUUAUGUUUUAAUUUAAUGAAAGUUUUGGCAUAACUCAUGCAUCACGAAUGCCAUGUGAUAUUCUAGGUUGUUGCAUUAGAAAUUCAUGAAUAUGUUGCAUUGCAUAUUAUGUUGUUGAUGUGGAUGAAUGUUGAAUGAUCCAUUAGUCCUCGUAUGUUAUGGUAUGAUAUGAUGAUGAUAUAGUUUGGAAGUCCAGGAAGACCCAUUCUAUGUCCCUGGCACUAUGUAAGAGAAAGUACAGGAAGACCCAUUCUACGUCCCUGGCAUAUUGGAAUGUUAUGAUAUAUUAUGUAAGAGGAAGUCCAGGAAGACCCAUUCUACGUCCCUGGCACUAUUGGAUAUGUAGAGGACUAUUGGUGACAAGUUCAUCCUUAAUGUGAUUUGUUUGUGAUGUGAUGCAUUUCAUGAAAGCAUGAACUUUUAAUAUAAUGUUUUAUUAUUCUGCUCACUGGGCUCUAGUAGCUCACCCUGUUUCCCUAAUCCCCCAUGUAUGUAGGUUCGGGAUAGGCCAGGAGGUCAAGAAGAGUAAAGUUUCGUCUAUGUAAUAGUUAGAUGUGGACAUGAUAUAUUGUAAAGUACUAAACAGUUAUGUAAUGUAAUGAUGAGUAUGGAGGUUUAGAAUUGUGCUUGACCCUAGUAUGUUGUUAAUCCCUUUUUGGUUACAUGAUCUUUUAAUGAAAUGUUUUAUGAUGUUUAAGUUUAACCAAAUUUUUAUGAUAUUAUGUUACCCCAUUGGAGCAUUGAUGAGGACUCCAAUGUGGGGUUGAUGAUUAUGAUCAUUAGUUGUGCAUGCACAGGUUGAGUUUGGCAAUUGAAUGAGAAAAGUUCAAAAUUUUUAUGUUUAUGAUUGAUCAUGUAUGGGAUUAAACAGGUUUUCAGGAUGUAUGUCAGGCUUGCUACGGGUCCCGGCGGCCUUAUACCGUUCUGGAUCCUAGCGCCGGUAACUAUAAUACCCGGCUAGAGUCCGGCAUCAGAAUUCUACUUUCCGGUGGAAUCCGGGAUGUCGGAAGUCUCUAGAAGGGGUAGAUUUCUGUUUUUCUACCAUGUUUUGAUAUGUUUCAUAGUUUUAAAGCCUAAGGAAAUGAGUUUUUGAAUGAAAUGAACCAAGGUAGAAAAGCCAGGUUCGGCCGCCGAAGUUGAGGUUCGGCCGCCGAACAUGCAUGGCUUUCGGUUUCACGAUAGGCCGCCGAAGGUGGUCUGGCCAACCACCUAUAAAAGGCCCUCAGUCGGUUGAAAGGAUAAGCUUCGCCGCUUCCUUUCGAUUUCUGAGGUGAGACUCUGUCCUUCUUGAGUAUUUUACAUGUUUUCAUCAAAUCUUGCAAAGGUUUGAUUAGUUUUUAUGUUAUUUUGAAGGUUUUAAGCUAAAAACUCAAAGUUGUGACUUUUGGAGAGUUUGAAGAAGAGUUGCUUCAAAACUCCACGUUAGGAUCAUUCAUCUACUUGGUUGCAAAAGGUAAGUGAAGAUCCUGAACUUGUUUUUAUGAUUUUUGAUGGUUUUAUGGGGUUUUUGGAGAGAGUUGCAUGAAUAGGUUAAAAAGAGAGUUUUUGGUGAUUUUUGUGAGAAAAGCUUGUUUGUGUGAUAUGUGCUUUGUGUUGUUGGGGUUUUUAGGUAGUGUUUGACCCCUUUGAGCAUAUACAUGAGUGUAUGCAAGUUGAGGAAGUGAGGUGUGAAGUUGGAGAGGAGUUUGGUGCAUUUGGCGAGAGGCAGGGCAAGUUUCUGCCCUGCUGAUGAACUCAGGUUUGGCCGCCGAAGGUAUAUUCGGCCGCCGAACCCCUGACAAGGUGAGAGGAGGUGGCUUCGGCUGCCCAAGCUUGCCCCCGAGCUUUUGGACUUUCGGCUCUGGAGGGAAGUUCGGCCGCCGAAGGUGCCGUCGAAGGUUAGAGACUUUCGUCUCUGGAGUGCCUUUCAGCCUCCGAAACUUGCCCCUGAAAGGGUUCGGCUGCCGAAAGUAGAGAUUCGGCCGCCAAAGGUGCAUGAGUUUCGUCUCUGGAGAGGACUUUCGGCCGCCGAACCUGCCGCCGAAAGUGUUCUGUCCAGCUUUUCUUUUGCAUGCUUUGCAUGAGUUUUAGAGUGAGUUUAAGGGGAUUCUUGGGGAGUUUAAUAGAGUUAUUCUUAAGCUAGGUUGGUCCCUCAUUUGAGUCUUUCUGUGCUUACACAGAUCAGAGGACCCAGAGAGAGCAGCAGUGAGUGCUGCUCCAGAGUGUUCAGAGCCUGCAGAGUCAGUUCAGAUAGCCAGAGGUGAGUGGAACUAAACUUAACUCUUUUAAUUGACCAAUGGAAUGUUUUAGCAUAUUUCAUGCAUCAGGAUUAUGCAAUAGGUUGAUUGCAUUAGUAUCCACGAAUAUGUUGCAUUGCAUAGUUAUUUGUUGAUGUGGGUGAAUGCUGAAUGAUCCAAUAGUCUCAAACAGGAAGUCCAGGAGCCUUUGACUACGCCCUGGCAGUUAUAGUAAAGACCAGGAGCCUUUGACUAUGCCCAGGCAAUGGUAAGUACAGAGGUGUUAUAUACACAUAUACAUAUAUGACAGGAAGACCAGGUGCUCGAUUCUACGCCCUGGCACAGAGUUACUGGGACUAUGUGGUGACAGGUUUACCUUUGAUGUGGAUUGUCUAGGAUAUGGUGCAUUCCAUGAGAUCAUGUUUUAAAUGAUAUGUUUUACUGUUCUACUCAAUGGCUAUAGAGCUCAUCCCACUCCCUUAACCCCAGUCUUGCAGGUUCAGUGUACAGUGUACAGACGGGAUCAGCAGAGUACAGGCAGAGUAAAGAGAGUUGUACUAGCUUAGAGUGGACAUGUAAAUUGAAAGAGAUGUAACAGUUGUGUAUACAGUUAGAAAUGUGCUUGACUUAGUGAUGUUUGUGUUGUAAAUCCUUUGUUAUGUACAUGAUCUGUAUAUGUAUAUAUGUUUUACUGUAUAUGAAAAACCAGGCUUAACAGGUAUGAGUUAACCCAUCUAGAGCAAGCUCUAGUCAGGGGUACAGAGUACAGAGUACAGAGUACAGAGAUAGUGCAUGCACAGGUUAAGCCUUGGUACAGAGAAAAGAGUUUUUAUUUUCACAUAAAAUGUAUGAUCAUGUAUGAGAUUUACAGGUACACAGAGAGUAUAGCAGGCUUGCUACGAGUUCUGGCGGCCUUAAGCCGACCUGAAUCCUAGCGCCGGUGACGGUCCAUUUUGGGGUCAUUACAGAUUGGUAUCAGAGCCCUAGGUUCACAUGAUCGGACCUAUAGAAAGAGUGUCGGGCUCAUAGAAGUUACAGUUGAUCAAGCACAAUUGGAAAGCAUGUCCACUAGGAUAGGGUGUUGAGUCCUAUCUGUUUGCUGCCAUGAGUUAUGCAUGUGCAUUCUUGAGAUGUGAUGUUUAUGUGCUAAAGUGUUAUCUUCUGUUUUGUUUUCCAGAGAGUAAAGAUGCGAGGAACUCGUCGAUCAGCUCGAUUGAUUGGAGUCCCACUAGAUAGUGAGAGACCAACUGCUCGUCCUCCUGCAUUGCCAAGGGCAAGGUCUCAGAGAUCUAGCAGGGAAGGUAUGUCAAUAGACCCUAGAAGGUCUGUCGACAAGAGCAGAAGGGGAACAGCUAGGGGAGGCAGAUCAGAGGAAAUGAGGGAGGCUAUGGAGAUUGACCAGUCUAGAGAUGACAGCAUGGGUGUAGGCAGAUUUGAGGAAGGUAUGGGAGAGUCGCAGGGAGGUGUGCAGACCUCAGGUUUUGGCUAUCCAGCCUUUCCGCAGGACCCAUAGUAUCCGAUGGGAGGUAUGUCGGAGUACUCUAGUUUUGUCCCAUAUCCUCCUUACAUGCCAUAUAUGCAUUAUCCUCCUUAUUAUCCACCAUAUCCUAUGUAUCCACCUUCCCCUACCCAUCCAAGUGCAGCACAUCCAGAGCCAAAUGACCCAGUACCACCACCAGAACCAGUAGCCCCUGUUGUUGACAGACAUCAACCUAGCUCAUCUGGAGGUAAAGUGCAAAUGACAGAGUACUUGAAAUUGGAUGCUCCUAAAUAUAAUAUGGGAGAUGAUCCAUUUGAAUACCUCCGAUCAGUUAGGAUGAUAACCAGUGAAUUGGGAGCUGAUGAUAGUAGGGCCAUUGAGAUGGCAGGGUUUACACUCAAAUGUAAGAAAGCCAGAGAAUGGUUUAAGAACUAUAUGGAGCCCAGGAUCGACAAUAUGUCAUGGGGAGAGUUCGCCAAUGAGUUUGCAGGGUGGGCUUUUCCUGAUAGCUCCAGAGAGAUGAAAGUAAUAGAAUUUGAACAGUUGCGCCAGACAGACAAAAUGAGUGUUGAUGACUUCACAGAUAAGUUCCUGGAUUUGCUUCAGUAUGUGGGUCAAGCCUAUGAUACUGAGCAGAAGAAGGCAAGGAGAUAUACUAUGAGAUUGCAUCCCAGGUAUUCUUCCUUGAUUCUUCCAGCAGAAAAGGAGAGUUUCCACACUAUAGUGGACGCAGCCAGGAAAAUGGAAGCUAAUGCCAAUAUGCAGAAACAGUCAAAGGCGCAGGCUUCGGGUUCUAAGGCCCCCAAUUCAGCACCUUCAGGCAGCAAGAGAUGGGAUAGAGCAAAAGGAACAAAGAGUAAGUUCUGGAAUAGAGUCAAGUCAGGUCUGGGAAUAGGUAGUGGCUCAAGCUCUGGCACAGCUCCAGUAUGCAGAAGAUGCGGAAGACCACAUAGAGGAGCUUGUCGGUUGGGAUCUACAGCUUGUUUUAAAUGUGGACAGGAAGGGCAUAUUGCUCGGGAUUGUCCUCAGGUGACUUUUGUACCAUCCCAGCAGAUGAGUUCAGGCAGUGUGGUACAGCCAGUUGUACAACCAGCAACUCCAGUCAUGCCUCAGAGUAGUGGCAGAGGUAGAGGGAGAGGGGCAGCCUCUACUUCAGCAGCAGGUUCCCGAGGUGGAAAUCCGGUAGCCCCAGCAUAGAUUUUCACUGUGACACAGGAGGAGGCUAACACGUCGAAAACAGUGGUGUCAGGUAAUCUCAUCAUUGGGUGUUCAGAUGUGUAUGCUUUGAUGGACCCCGGUGCUUCUCAUUCCUUUAUUGCUUCGAGAGCCAUAGAGAGAUUGGGUUUGAUCAGUUCUGAGUUAGAGUAUCCUCUCUGGGUCAGUGGACCCAAAUGUGACCCAUCAGUGACAAUGUCAGUCUGUCGUUUCAGUCCAGUGUUUAUAGAGGGUAGAUGCCUUCCAGCUGACCUUGUGGUUCUAGACUUGACAGAUUUUGAUGUCAUUCUAGGGAUGGAUUGGCUAUCUGCAUAUAGUGCUACUUUGGACUGUAGAGAGAAGAUAGUUAGUCUCAGAGACCAGGAUGGGUCAGAGUGUGUCUUCAGAGGAGACAGGAGAGGUACACCCAGAGGUUUGAUUUCAGCCCUUCAGGCUCGUCGUUUGCUUAGGAGGGGUUGUUAGGGGUUUCUAGCUCAUGUGAGAGAGCUAGACAGUCAGGUUAGGGAACCAGCCACAGUACCAGUAGUCCGAGAGUAUCUCGAUGUGUUCCCAGACGAUUUACCAGGACUACCACCUGAUAGGGAGAUAGGGUUUGAAAUCGAAUUGCUGCUAGGUACCAGACCUAUCUCUAUUCCUCCCUACAGGAUGGCGCCAGCAGAGUUAAAAGAGUUGAAAGAACAGUUGCAGGAUUUGGUAGAUAAGGGUUUCAUCUGCCCUAGUACCUCACCUUGGGGUGCUCCAGUGCUUUUUGUUAGAAAGAAGGAUGGAUCUCUCAGACUUUGUAUCGACUACAGACAGUUGAACAAGGUCACUACCAAGAAUAGGUAUCCUCUACCUCGGAUUGAUGAUCUAUUCGACCAGCUAGCUAGAGCAGGUUGUUUCUCUAAAAUAGAUCUGAGAUCCGGGUAUCAUCAGUUGAGAGUUAGAGAGGCAGAUGUGCCUAAAACAGCUUUCAGGACCAGAUAUGGGCAUUAUGAGUUCUUAGUGAUGCCGUUCGGGUUGACUAACGCCCCUGCAGCAUUCAUGGAUCUCAUGAACAGAGUUUUCGGUGAGUUUCUGGAUCACUUUGUCAUUGUUUUCAUUGAUGAUAUAUUAGUGUAUUCCAGAGAUGCAGAGGAGCAUGCCCAGCAUCUGAGGAUAGUUCUGCAGACACUAAGAGAGCAUGGUUUGUAUGCCAAGUGCUCUAAGUGUGAGUUUUGGUUGAGGAGCAGACCCCAAGAAGAUAGAGGCUGUAGCUAACUGGCCCAGACCCACUACAGUGACUGAGAUUAAAAGUUUUCUGGGACUGGCAGGUUACUACAGGAGGUUCGUUCAGAACUUCUCAAAGAUAGCGGCUCCUAUGACCAAACUGACUCAAAAGAACCAGAAGUUUAUCUGGUCAGACCAGUGCGAAGAGAGCUUUGAGGAGCUCAAGAGAAGAUUGACAUCAGCACCAGUGCUCGCUCUGCCUAUUAGUGACGAGGAUUUCACAGUGUUCUGUGACGCAUCUCGAGUGGGAUUGGGUUGUGUUUUGAUGCAGAGUGAUAGGGUGAUUGCUUAUGCUUCUAGACAGUUGAAGAAGCACGAGGUAAAUUACCCCACCCAUGACCUAGAGAUGGCAGCAGUUAUCUUUGCACUUAAGAUGUGGAGGCAUUACCUCUACGGAGUAAAAUGCGAGAUCUUCACCGAUCAUAAGAGUUUACAGUACAUCUUGAGUCAGAGAGAGCUGAAUUUGAGGCAGAGAAGAUGGGUGGAAUUGCUCAGUGAUUAUGAUUGUAAGAUCCAGUAUCAUCCGAGUAAGGCGAAUGUUGUGGCAGACGCCCUAAGCCGGAAGUCACUAGGCAGUUUAUCCCAUAUAGCAGCAGAGCGGAGACCAGUUGUUAUGGAGCUUUACAAACUCUUAGAGGAAGGAUUACAGUUAGAAUUGUCUGGUACAGGUGCAUUGAUCGCACAGAUGAGAGUGACACCUGUGUUUCUGGAGCAGAUAGCGCAGAAACAGUACGAGGACCUAGAGUUGAUGAAAAUUGCCAGGACUGUUCAAUCAGGCAACAGUGCAGAGUUUAGAAUUGACAGCAAAGGGAUCCUCCGUUAUGGGAGUCGACUUUGUGUACCAGAUAGGAGCAGUAUGAAGGAAGACAUUAUGAGGGAAGCUCAUAAUGCGCGGUAUAGUGUUCACCCAGGAGCCACCAAGAUGUAUCAAGAUUUGAAAAGGGUCUAUUGGUGGCCAGCCAUGAAGAAAGAAGUGGCGUAGUUUGUGACAGCCUGUGAGGUUUGUCAACGGGUGAAACUAGAGCAUCAGAAGCCGGCUGGAAUGCUUAACCCACUGCCGAUACCAGAAUGGAAAUGGGAGAACAUAGCUAUGGAUUUUGUAGUGGGUUUACCGGCAGCGUCCAAUAGGAUAAACUCUAUUUGGGUGAUUGUGGACAGACUCACGAAAUCUGCUCAUUUUCUUCCAGUACGGAGUAACUAUUCUGUGGAUAAGUUGGCACAGGUCUAUCUGGAUGAGAUAGUGAGAUUACAUGAAAUUCCAGUGUCUAUAGUCUCAGACAGAGGACCUCAGUUUACCUCCGAAUUUUGGCGAAGUUUGCAGAGUGCGAUGGGCACGAGGUUGGAUUUUAGCACUGCUUUCCACCCACAGACUGAUGGACAGUCAGAGAGGACCAUCCAGACCAUAGAGGAUAUGCUUCGACUGUGUGUGUUAGACUUUGGCGGUUCUUGGAGGCAGCAUCUACCUCUAGUGGAGUUUGCCUACAAUAACAGCCAUCAUGCUAGCAUAGGGAUGGCUCCUUAUGAAGCUUUGUAUGGGCGGAAGUGCAGAUCCCCUGUUUGCUGGGAAGAAAUAGGAGAGAAGGCUCUUGCAGGGCCAGAGUUAGUAGAGAUUACCAGUAGAGUGGUGCCCAUGAUCAGAGAGAGAAUCAGAACAGCUCAGAGCAGACAGAAAAGUUACGCAGACGUUCGCAGAAAGCAGUUAGAGUUUCAGGAGGGUAGUAUGGUAUUACUGAAGGUGUCUCCAAUGAAAGGCGUGGUUCAUUUUGGGAAGAAAGGUAAGUUAGCUCCACGAUACAUUGGACCCUUUGAGAUUUUGCAGAGGAUCGAAAAUGUGUCAUAUAAGCUAGAUUUACCUGCGUCUAUGGAGAGAAUUCACCCGGUAUUUCAUGUUUCUAUGCUACGGCAGUUUGUGUCAGAUCCGAAUCAGGUUCUGAGUGAGCCUGAGGUGGAGAUUCGUACAGAUCUCACCUAUAUAGAGCAGCCAGUGCGGAUUCUGGACACACAGAUCAGACAGCUAAGGAACAAAGAGAUCCCAAUGGUGAAAGUUCUGUGGAACCACCAUAAUCUAGAAGAAUGUACCUGGGAGACGCGGGAGUCUAUGCUCCAGCAGUAUCCAUAUUUGUUUUGAGGUUAGUUUCCUCCUUUUUAUGUGUUUAUGGUUUGUUUUCGGAACAUUCGAGGAUGAAUGUUCUUAAUGGGGGGAGAAUGUAAUACCCGGCUAGAGUCCGGCAUCGGAAUUCUACUUUUCGGUGGAAUCCGGGAUGUCAGAAGUCUCUAGAAGGGGUAGAUUUCUAUUUUUCUACCAUGUUUUGAUAUGUUUCAUAGUUUUAAAGCCUAAGGAAAUGAGUUUUUGAAUGAAAUGAACCAAGGCAGAAAAGCCAGGUUCGGCCGCCGAAGUUGAGGUUCGGCCGCCGAACAUGCAUGGCUUUCGGUUUCAUGAUAGGCCGCCGAAGGUGGUCUAGCCAGCCACCUAUAAAAGGCCCUCAGUUUGUUGAAAGGAUAAGCUUCGCCGCUUCCUUUCGAUUUCUGAGGUGAGACUCUGUCCUUCUUGAGUAUUUUACAUGUUUUCAUCAAAUCUUGCAAAGGUUUGAUUAGUUUUUAUGUUAUUUUGAAGGUUUUAAGCUAAAAACUCAAAGUUGUGACUUUUGGAGAGUUUGAAGAAGAGUUGCUUCAAAACUCCACGUUAGGAUCAUUCAUCUACUUGGUUGCAAAAGGUAAGUGAAGAUCUUGAACUUGUUUUUAUGAUUUUUGAUGGUUUUAUGGAGUUUUUGGAGAGAGUUGCAUGAAUAGGUUAAAAAGAGAGUUUUUGGUGAUUUUUGUGAGAAAAGCUUGUUUGUGUGAUAUGUGCUUUGUGUUGUUGGGGUUUUUAGGUAGUGUUUGACCCCUUUGAGGACCCAGAUCAGAGGACCCAGAGAGAGCAGCAGUGAGUACUGCUCCAGAGUGUUUAGAGCCUGUAGAGUCAGUUCAGAUAGCCAGAGGUGAGUGGAACUAAACUUAAAUCUUUUAAUUGACCAAUGGAAUGUUUUAGCAUAUUUCAUGCAUCAGGAUUAUGCAAUAGGUUGAUUGCAUUAAUAUCCACGAAUAUGUUGCAUUGCAUAGUUAUUUGUUGAUGUGGGUGAAUGCUGAAUGAUCCAAUAGUCUCAGACAGGAAGUCCAGGAGCCUUUGACUACGCCCUGGCAGGUAUAGUAAAGACCAGGAGCCUUUGACUACGCCUUGGCAGGUAUAGUAAAGACCAGGAGCCUUUGACUACGCCCUGGCAAUGGCAAGUACAGAGGUGUUAUAUACACAUAUACAUAUAUGACAGGAAGACCAGGUGCUCGAUUCUACGCCCUGGCACAGAGUUACUGGGACUAUGAGGUGACAGGUUUACCUUUGAUGUGGAUUGUCUGUGAUAUGGUGCAUUCCAUGAGAUCAUGUUUUAAAUGAUAUGUUUUACUGUUCUACUCACUGGGCUAUAGAGCUCAUCCCACUCCCUUAACCCCAGUCUUGCAGGUUCAGUGUACAGUGUACAGACGGGAUCAGCAGAGUACAGACAGAGUAAAGAGAGUUGUACUAGCUUAGAGUGGACAUGUAAAUUGAAAGAGAUGUAACAGUUGUGUAUACAGUUAGAAAUGUGCUUGACUUAGUGAUGUUUGUGUUGUAAAUCCUUUGUUAUGUACAUGAUCUGUAUAUGUAUAUAUGUUUUACUGUAUAUGAAAAACCAGGCUUAACAGGUAUGAGUUAACCCAUCUAGAGCAAGCUCUAGUCAGGGGUACAGAGUACAGAGUACAGAGUACAGAGAUAGUGCAUGCACAAGUUAAGCCUUGGUACAGAGAAAAGAGUUUUUAUUUUCACAGAAAAUGUAUGAUCAUGUAUGAGAUUUACAAGUACACAGAGAGUAUAGCAGGCUUGCUACGGGUUCUGGCGGCCUUAAGCCGACCUGAAUCCUAGCGCCGAUGACGGUCCAUUUUGGGGUCGUUACAGUAACGGUCCGGAUUUCGGGUCGUUACAGAUUGGUAUCAGAGCCCUAGGUUCAUAUGGUCAGACCUAUAGAGAAUGUCGGGCUCAUAGAUGUUAUAGAAGGUCAAGCACAAUAGGAAAAUCAUGUCCACUAGGAUAGGAUGUAGAGUCCUGUCUUGAAUGAUGAUGUGAAAUGCCAUGAUUAUAUGCAUGUGCAUUAAAGAUAUGCUAUGUAUGUGAUGUAUGUGAUGCGGGUUCAUGUGUUUGCAUAUGAACCAUUUGAUGCUAAUGUUUAUGUAAUGUGUGAUGUUUUACAGUAAACAGGAUGAAGGGAACUUGUCGAUCUGCACGAUUGACUGGAGUACCACCGGAGGAUGAGGGCAUGAGUGCCCGUUCCCCUGCAUUGCCAAGGGCAAUGUCUAGCAGGUCUAGCAAGGAAAGAGCAGUGAGAGACCCUAGAAGGUCUUUGGAUAUGAACAGAAGCAGGUCAGUAAGGGGAACAGUGCAAAGAGGAAUGUCAGAGAAUGUGGGGGAUGAUAUGGAUGUGGAUCAAAGGAGGGAUGGCAGUCUUGGAGUGAGUAUGUCGGAGGAGGGUAUGGGAGAGUCCCAAGGAGGCACUCAGGCCUCGGGAUUUGUUCAGCCACCUCAGUACCCACCCUUUUCUCAGAAUCCCGGGUAUUCGAUGGGAGGUACAUCGGAUUACGCCAGCUUUAACCCUUAUCACUCCCACAUGCCAUACCCACCUUUCUACCCACCAUACCCACAGUACCCUAUGUACCCACCCCCAUCCGUCUACCCAGGUACAACAAACCCUACCCCAGGGGAUGCUGCACCUCCUUCACCACCAGCAGUACCUACUAUACCAGAAACCCAAAUGCCUAAACCUAGCUCAUCUGGAGGGAGCAAGGUCAAGAUGACCGAUUACAUAAAGCUGGGUGCUCCCCAGUUUGAAACCGGUGAUGACCCGUUUGUGUAUCUUGAGAGGGUCAGAACGAUUACAGAUGAGAUAGGAGCUGAUGACAGUAGAGCCAUUCAGAUGGCUGGGUUCACACUAAAGUGCAAGAAGGCCCGUGAGUGGUUCAAGAACUAUGUGAAUCCGAGGUUGGAUAGUCUUUCAUGGGAGGAGUUUGCGAACGAGUUUGCAGGAUGGGCUUUCCUUGACAGUUCAAGGGAGUUGAAGAUGAUUGAAUUUGAGCAGUUGAGGUAGACAUAUGAGAUGAGUGUGGAUGAGUAUACAGACAGAUUCUUGGAGCUGUUGCCGUUUGCUGGGCAGAAUCUGGACACAGAUCAGAAGAAGUCAAGGAGGUAUAUCAUGAGGCUCCAUUCCAGGUAUUCCUCCUUGAUUCAGUCAUCAGAGAGGGAGAGUUUCCAUGCCAUAGUGGAUAUGGCUCGGAGGAUGGAGGCUAGUGCAAUAAUCGAAGGGAAAGUCAAGCUGUCAGUGGCACAGCCUUCUGGUUCCAAGACCCCAGAUGGGGGAAAGUUAGACCCUUCUUCUCUGAGUUUAGGCAGUAAGAGGUGGGGUAAUACCACCAAGAAGCCAAAGAAGAACAAGUUCUGGAACAAGAUCAAGUCAGGUCUGGGAUUAGGAGGUGGCUUGAGCUCAGGUGCAGAUAAUGCAGUAUGUAGGAAGUGUGGAAAGCCGCACAAGGGUGUAUGUCUGGUUGGGACGAUAGCCUGCUUCAGAUGUGGGCAGGAGGGACACAUGGCACGGGAGUGUCCUAGAGCAGCUUUUAUGGCGCAGUCUCAGCAGACAGCCUCUGGUAGUGUGGCUCAACCAGUAGCUCCAACCGCGACUCAGGCUAGUGGCAGAGGCCGAGGGAGAGGGGCAGCCUCUUCUUCAGCGGGUUUCAGGAGUGAAGGUCCAUCAGCUCCAGCACGGAUCUUCACUAUGACUCAGCAGGAGGCAAAUGCAUCAAACACCAUGGCCUCAGGUAAUCUCAUCAUUGGUUGUUCUGAUGUUUAUGCCUUAAUGGACCCUGGUGCAUCGCAUUCUUUCAUUGCUCUGAGGGCCGUCGAGAGGUUGGGAUUGAUGGUCUCUGGGUUAGAGUGUCCCCUAUGGGUCAGUGGACCCAAAUGUUACCCGUCAGUGGCAGAGUCAGUCUGCCAGUGUAGUCUAGUUUUUGUGGAGGGAAGAUGCCUUUCUGCUGACCUUGUGGUUCUAGAUUUGACAGAUUUUGACGUCAUUCUAGGGAUGGAUUGGCUAUCUACCCAUGGUGCUACCUUGGAUUGCAGAGACAAGGUAGUCAGGUUAAGAUGUCAGGAUGGGUCAGAGGUUGUCUUCAGUGGAGACAGGGGGAGUACACCUAGAGGUUUGAUAUCAGCCCUUCAGGCUCGUAGGUUGCUCAGGAGGGGUUGUCAGGGUUUUCUAGCUCAUGUGAGAGAGCUGGAUAGUCAUGUCAGAGAGCCCGCCUCAAUGCCCGUGGUCAGUGAGUUCUUAGACGUGUUCCCAGACGAACUGCCAGGUUUACCACCUGCUAGGGAGAUAGAGUUCGAAAUUGAGUUGAUGCCUGGAACCAGACCGAUCUCUAUCCCUCCCUACAGGAUGGCACCAACAGAAUUGAAGGAGCUUAAGGAGCAGUUACAAGAGCUGGUAGAUAAGGGCUUCAUCCGCCCGAGUACCUCACCUUAGGGUGCUCCAGUGCUGUUUGUGGAAAAGAAAGAUGGAUCCCUUAGACUUUGUAUCGACUACAGGCAGUUGAACAAAGUCACUACCAAUAAUAAGUACCCGUUGCCAAGGAUCGACGAUCUAUUCGACCAGCUAGCAGGAGCAGGUUGUUUCUCCAAAAUAGAUCUGAGAUCUGGGUACCAUCAGCUGAGGAUAAGAGAAGAGGAUGUACCGAAGACAGCAUUCAGGACCAGAUAUGGGCACUAUGAGUUCCUUGUGAUGCCGUUCGGGUUAACCAAUGCCCCUGCAGCAUUCAUGGAUCUCAUGAACAGAGUAUUUAGCCAAUACCUGGAUCACUUUGUUAUUGUCUUCAUAGAUGAUAUCUUAGUGUAUUCUAGGAAUGCAGAGGAGCAAGCCCAUCAUCUGAGGUUGGUUUUGUAGACCUUGAGGGAACACGACUUGUAUGCCAAGUUCUCCAAGUGUGAAUUCUGGCUGAGGAGCAUUUCAUUCUUGGGGCAUGUGGUGUCAGAAAAUGGAAUCGAGGUAGACCCCAAGAAAGUGGAAGCUGUAGCUAACUGGCCUAGACCCACUACGGUGACAGAGAUCAAGAGCUUCUUGGGUUUGGCAGGUUACUACAGGAGGUUCGUCCAGGACUUCUCUAAGAUUGCAGCUCCUAUGACCAGACUGACUAAGAAGAACCAGAGGUUUGUGUGGACCGACCAGUGUGAAGAAAGCUUUGAGGAGCUCAAGAAGAGGUUGACUUCAGCACCAGUGUUAGCUCUGCCAACUAGUAAUGAAGACUUCACGGUUUUAUGUGAUGCGUCCCGUGUGGGACUGGGUUGUGUGCUGAUGCAAAAUGAAAGGGUGAUUGCUUAUGCUUCUAGGCAGCUGAAGAAGCACAAGUUGAAUUACCCUACACAUGACCUAGAGAUGGCAGCGGUAAUCUUUGCACUCAAGAUGUGGAGGCAUUACCUUUAUGGGGUAAAAUGUGAGAUCUUCACAGAUCAUAAAAGCCUGCAGUACAUCCUGAGUCAGAGAGAGCUGAAUUUGAGGCAGAGAAGAUGGGUAGAACUGCUCAGUGACUAUGAUUGCAAGAUUCAGUACCAUCCGGGUAAGGCGAAUGUUGUGGCAGACGCCUUAAGCCGGAAAUCACUUGGCAGUUUAUCCCAUAUUUCAACAGAGAGGAGGCCAGUAGUGAGGGAGUUCUUCGAGCUCAUUAAUGAAGGGUUGCAGUUGGAGUUGUCUGGUACAGGUGCUUUGAUUGCCCAGAUGAGAGUGGCACCCAUGUUUCUGGAGCAGGUGGCUCAGAAACAGCACGAGGACCCAGAGUUAGUGAAAUUGCCAGGACUGUUCAGUCAGGCAAAAAUGAAGAGUUCAGGUUUGACAGUAAGGGGAUCCUCCGCUAUGGGAAUAGAUUAUGUGUACCAGAUGACGUGGGACUGAAGGGAGACAUUAUGAGAGAGGCUCAUAAUGCCAGAUACAGUGUUCACCCUGGAGCCACCAAAAUGUAUUAAGAUCUGAAGAGAGUUUAUUGGUGGCCAGCUAUGAAAAGAGAAGUGGCACAGCUCGUGUCAGCCUGCGAAGUAUGUCAGAGGGUGAAGCUGGAACAUCAGAAGCCGGCUGGAAUGCUUAACCCACUACCUAUUCCAGAGUGGAAAUGGGAGAAUAUUGCUAUGGACUUCGUGGUGGGGUUACCGGCAGCGUCCAACAGAUUAGACUCCAUAUGGGUGAUUGUGGACAGACUAACGAAAUCUGCUCACUUUAUCCCUGUCAGGAGUGGCUAUUCUGUGGACAAGUUGGCGCAGGUGUAUGUUGAUGAGGUUGUCAGGCUGCAUGGGGUUUCUGUUUCAAUAGUGUCUGAUAGAGGACCCCAGUUCACCUCCAGGUUUUGGCGGAGUCUGCAGAACGCUAUGGGUACCAGGUUGGAUUUCAGCACUGCUUUCCAUCCUCAGACGGACGGACAAUCAGAGAGGAUCAUCCAAACAAUAGAGGAUAUGCUCAAAAUGUGUGUGCUGGAUUUUGGCGGUUCUUGGAGGCAGCAUCUACCUUUGGUGGAGUUUGCCUACAAUAACAGCCAUCAUGCUAGCAUAGGGAUAGCCCCAUAUGAAGCUUUGUAUGGAAGGAAGUGCAGGUCGCCUGUCUGUUGGGAAGAAGUUGGAGAAAAGGCCUUGGCAGGGCCUGAGUUAGUAGAAAUCACCAGCAGAGUGGUGCCCAUAAUCAGAGAAAGGAUCAAGACUGCUGCGAGUAGACAGAAGAGUUAUGCAGACAUCCGCAGAAGGCAGGUAGAGUUUCAGGAGGGGGAUUUGGUAUUGCUCAAAGUGUCUCCAAUGAAAGGGGUGAUUCGGUUCGGGAAGAAAGGUAAGCUAGCUCCACGGUACAUCGGACCCUUUGAGAUCUUGCAGAAGAUCGGGAAUGUAUCGUACAAGUUGGACUUACCUGCUUCUAUGGAAAGAAUCCAUCCGGUUUUCCAUGUUUCUAUGCUACGAAAGUUUAUGUCAGAUCCGGAUAAGGUUCUUAGUGAGCCUGAUGUGGAGGUCCAAGAGGAUCUCACUUAUGUUGAACAGCCAGUACGGAUUCUUGACACUCAGAUCAGAAAGUUGAGAAACAAGGAGAUCCUGAUAGUGAAAGUCCUUUGGAAUCACCACAACAUCGAAGAGUGUACCUGGGAGACACGGGAGUCCAUGCUCCAGCAAUAUCCUCAUCUCUUCUAAAGUGAGUUUUAUGUGCUUUGUAUGUAUGUUUAUGUUUUAUGCUAUGUUUUAUGCCAUGCUCUAUUUGUUUGGUGAACAUUCGGGGACGAAUGUUCUUAAAGGGGGAAGAAUGUAAUACCCGGCUAGACUCCAGUAUCGGAAUUCCUACCGUCCGGUGGAAUCUCGGAUGUCGAAAACCUCUAGAAGGGUAAAACCAUGUUUUCAUAAAAUGUUUUAAUGUAUUUUAUGGUUUUAAGCAAGAAAGGAAAUGAGUUUUGUAUGAAAAUAGCCUUGGAGGAAAAACUCAGGUUCGGCCGCCGAACCUCAAGUUCGGCUGCCGAACAUGCAUGCGCUUUGGGAGUGCUCUAGGCCCCCGAAGGCAUAAGUGAGGGAAGUCUAGGUUCGGCCGCCGAACCUUAUGUUCGGCCGCCGAACAUGGCAUGCAUGCGGAGGCACGUUAGGCCCCCGAAAGUGGCCUGGCCAGCCACCUAUAAAGGGGUCCCCAUGUCCGAACGGGUGAGCUUUUCUCCCCGUUUUCGGCCAAGGUGAGUUCUCCGCCGUCCCUCAUCGAUUUUGAGCUUCUUCCUUCGAAUCUUUAUGAUUUUCUUAUGAGUUUUCACUUGGUUUGAAGAUAUUUGAGCAAAAGAGCAAGUUUUGAAGCUUGGAGACCAAAGAGGUGAUUUAUCCCCAUCUCCAAGCUAGGAUCGUCUUUCCUCUCGAUCUCCAAGAGGUAAGCUUAGAUCCAACCUUCCUUGUAUGUUUUAAGCAAGUUUUAUGAAGAUUUAUGGGGUAGAAAUGCAUGUUUAGGUUAUUGUUGAGUUUAUGGGUUUAUGUUAUGUGUAUGAGCAAUGUGGGUAGUAUGUGUACGUUUGAUGUGUUUUGGUUGGGGUUUAGGAUAGUUUGAGACCCCUAUAUACUUGUUGGCCUCUGUUUGCUUGUUGUAGAAUAAGUAAAUGCAUGUGUGAUUGGAUUGGGAGGUUUUUUAUGCAUGAAAGAGGCUGAGUUCUGCCCUUGGGAAGAACUCAGGUUCGGCAGCCGAAGGCUCUUUCAGCUGCCGAACCUGCCUGUGGAGGCCAACUUUUGGCUGCCGAACCUUGCCCUCGAAAGUGGACUUUCGAUUCUGGAAGGGAGUUUCGGCCGCCGAAGGUGCCGCUGAACAUGCAUGAGUUUUGUCUCUGGAGGGAACCUUCGGCCGCCGAAAGUGCCGCAGAAGGUGCAUGACUUUCGGCUCUGGAGGGACUUUCGGCCGCCGAACCUGCCGCCGAAAGUGCCCUGUGCAGCCCUCCUUUGCAUGUUUUCUAUGAUUGUUUUGAGGUGUUUUAGGGGGAUUUUGGGGAGUAUUUUGAGUCAUGUUCUUGGAUGUUUGGUCCUUCAUUUGAGUCCACCUGUGUAGGUUCGGACCCGAGGAACCGAGGGCCCCAGCAGUGAGUUAGCAGCUUUACAGUCAGCCUGAGGUGAGUAGAAUAAACCUUUAUGUUUUAAUUUAAUGAAAGUUUUUGCAUAACUCAUGCAUCACGAAUGCCAUGUGAUAUUCUAGGUUGUUGCAUUAGAAAUUCACGAAUAUGUUGCAUUGCAUAUUAUGUUUUUGAUGUGGAUGAAUGUUGAAUGAUCCAUUAGUCCUUGUAUGUUAUGGUAUGAUAUGAUGAUGAUAUGGUUUGGAAGUCCAGGAAGACCCAUUCUACGUCCCUGGCACUAUGUAAGAGAAAGUCCAGGAAGACCCAUUCUACGUCCCUGGCACUAUGUAAGAGAAAGUCCAGGAAGACCCAUUCUACGUCCCUGGCACUAUUGGAUAUGUAGAGGACUAUUGGUGACAAGUUCAUCCUUAAUGUGAUUUGUUUGUGAUGUGAUGCAUUUCAUGAAAGCAUGAACUUUUAAUAUAAUGUUUUAUUAUUCUGCUCACUGGGCUCUAGUAGCUCACCCCGUUUCCCUAAUCCCCCAGGUAUGUAGGUUCGGGAUAGGCCAGGAGGUCAAGAAGAGUAAAGUUUUGUCUAUGUAAUACUUAGAUGUGGACAUGAUAUAUUGUAAAGUACUAAACAGUUAUGUAAUGUAAUGAUGAGUAUGGAGGUUUAGAAUUGUGCUUGACCCUAGUAUGUUGUUAAUCCCUUUUUGGUUACAUGAUCUUUUAAUGAAAUGUUUUAUGAUAUUUAAGUUUAACCAAACUUUUAUGAUAUUAUGUUACCCCAUUGGAGCAUUGAUGAGGACUCCAAUGUGGGGUUGAUGAUUAUGAUCAUUAGUUGUGCAUGCACAGGUUGAGUUUGGCAAUUGAAUGAGAAAAGUUCAAAAUUUUUAUGUUUAUGAUUGAUCAUGUAUGGGAUUAAACAGGUUUUCAGGAUGUAUGUCAGGCUUGCUAUGGGUCCCGGCGGCCUUGUGCCGAUCUGGAUCCUAGCGCCGGUAACGGUCCGGAUUCUGGGUCGUUACAAGAACCAUAUCAUAGCUAUAACUCAUUUUGGCAUGUACAUAUACUAUGCAUAUACACAUACAUACUAUGACCUAGAACCGCCUAAACCUUUGCUCCGAUACCACUAAUUGUAACACCCAUUACCCUAUCAAAGUGUAGACAGAGCAAGGAAUAUCACAAACUAUGCCUCUUUUGAUAUAUCCAGACUAAACAAUUUCCUUUAUCUGUAAAUACCAAGUUUUAAGUAGUCCAAGCAAUUUUUAUAAGGUGAAUAAAGUAACUGUGAGAUUUUAAACCAAAAUGUAUUUUGGCAGAAUUUCCUCUAUUUCAUAAGCACUUUAACCUGUAAUACAUAUGAAAAUCACACUUAUAAUUACACUAACAACUGUCAUUUGAUAUAUUACUAUUCCUUGAUUUACAUAAUCUUUACAACUCACUCUAUUAAAUAUGUACAUGCCAAAAUAUAACUGUACUAUGACUCAAAACUCAAAACAACCAGCUAUGAUAAUGGCUUUGAUAUCUAAUGUAGAUCUCUGAUGAACUCCGCGUAUCUACUUUAUCUACAACCUGCGUGAGGUAAGAACCAACACGCUGAGCUAAUGCUCAGUGGGUGAUAGAAAACAAAUAACAAAAUAAAGCAAACAAGAUCACUUAUACAGAUAAUCAAGUAAACAAUUUCAAACUAAUCAAAAGUUGUUAACAUUCACUGAUAACUUCACAAAACAAGUGUCAACCUUAAUUAGGUCCUUAGCCCUUAUAACCACAUAGUAGGGUCGACUAGGUAGAUAAGGAAUUAUAACGGUAGGCACAGGGUGCCGAACGGUAGGCUCAGAGGCCAAAACUGUGAUAGCAGGGCUUUGUGGCCAUGCUUAUGAGGUACCUGAUAUGUAACCUCAAAUAUAGAUCAUGUAUCGGUAGCAGUACUGCGAACUCUGUAUGUUUAUAUGGCAUGCCAUACCCUUAAGCUAACCUCGACUCCUAUUACGUUUACCAGGGCCAAGUAUCAUUAAUUCAAUGUAAAUGCACAUCAUUUGAAGCUAUUUGAAUUCAUUUGCAAAAUACACAUAUCAUAUGUCAAAGUCAACAAGAUGAGAAAUUCAUGGCAAAUGGUGCAAAACUUUGUCAACAUAGCAUUCCAAUUUGAGAAAACUGCAUUCUGCCUUCCAAUUUGAGAAAACUGCAUUCUGCCUUAUAUUGCAUAAACUUUUCAAGUAGAUUAGAGUUACAAUUUGACUUCAGUUUCUUCAUAACAAAUGUACAUUUAUGUCUUAUCUUUCCAACAAGGUAUGGUUCAUGCAAUUCUGAACAUUCUAACUUAAGUUAUGAAUUUUUCUUUACAAGCUGCUCAAUAAGAUAUUAAACAGUCCAGUAUUGGUACCUGUUUAUAGUAUCACAAAACAUAUCAGAUUCAUGUAUUUUCAUACAAAUUCAAGCUUAAGUGUCUUCUACAAAGUUUUAGGUAUAUUUCUUAAGAUUCAUUUGGAACUUAUUUUAAUAAAUUUCACUGAGUACAUAAUUAAUUAUGGUACAAUCAAUACACACUGUUCCGAAUGCACUAACUCUGUGUCCAGUUUAGGUUCACUUGAAAUUUUCAUCAUCUUACCUACAGAUUCAGAAUUUGGUCAAUUCAUGAAAGUUUUAUAUCUUUGUCUCAGAUUUCAUUUGGUAUAUCUUAGG